rnacentral:tRNA from 1 species
UCCCUGGUGGUCCUGUGGCUGGGACUCUGCACUCCCAAUGCAGGGGGCCCGGGUUUGAUCCCUGGUCAGGGAA